AGCCGAUUUCAAUGAGUGUGUAGACAAAGGGAAUAUCCUUGGUUAUCUUGCUUGCAGAACAGAAAAGACAUUGUUAGGUUAUGUAAACUACCCUACUUUAAGAGUAGACUAGUCCGACAAAUGACACAUCUUUCUGUCUGUAGGACCAGGCUACUUCGAAAGGAGGGUAGUAUACCUUACCUAACAAUGACUUCACGGUUUAGCUAACAAGUAAGCUAACCAAAGAUAUAACCCCUGCCUACAUACUCAAUGGAAUCGGCUGUAACUAAAAACUCGAAUACAUUUUAACAGACAGUGGUCAUGUUUGUUAAUGAAUAUUGUUUUUCCUAGAUUCACUCUUGAAAAAUCAUUUGGUAACAUUUGGUCAAGUAAUUUCAGAUUAUAUCUUUUUGUAAUUGCGGACGCCAAGACAAUACAUGAAUCUCACACGACCCCUCGACACAGGUGAGCUUAUAUAUGAUCUUAUAGCGAUUCGGGUUGAUAACCAGUUGAAAUUAAGCCAGUUUUGUGUGUGUGUAGAUUUGUAUUGUUUUAAACUGUUAUGACCUUUUAAAGUUAAAUGUAGGUGUUUAAUCUAAGAAUUUCUUUUUUAAACUUAUAUACUUGUUUUAUACUCAAUUGGUAGUAUGAAGCUACGAGGUAUUUUAAUUUUUGAAAUUGACAUAUUCUAGUCUGCCCUUUCAUUGAAUAGUGAUAUUUUUUUAGUGUUCUAUCGAACUUUCGAAAAAAAAUACCUGAUAACCGUUCAGACAAAAAAAAUUAUGAUGAAAAAAUCUUACAGAUACAGCAAGUGGUUCUUAAUAGCUAUAAGAUACAUUUUUCUUUUAAAAUACAACUUUUAAAUCUUACGGGAAACUAUUCCAAGCUUUAAACUUUCACUGUAACCUCGCUCUAACUUAUCCCCCAUCCCCCCCCCCAAAAAAAAACCAAACAAACAAACCCGCAAUACUAUUGUCAUUCUUAUAGUCAGCACUAAAUUGUUCACAAACAAAUGUGUUUUAAGCUGCUAAAGACAUAUGAUUCAAACGCUCAGAAAGUCUUUUGUUCUAUAUUUUUGCUCUCCAUUUUUAUGCAAAACCUUUUACAUUUUUAUUUUAUGGGUUAUUGUUGAAGGUCGUACGAUGACGUAUUGUUGUUAACACAUACUUCCUUUGGUUUCUUAUGGAAAGUCCAUUGACAACAAACAUACCACAUCAUCUACUUUAUAUAAGUAUUGUAUAAAUUACAACGUAUUUUGGUGAUCUUGCAAAAUGAUCGUAAUCCCGAAAAUCGUAAACAUAUUUUCUUAUCUUAAAAGGGGGCAAGAAGGGUUCCAUUAACAGGCCAAUAAAUAAGAUUACAGUUAAUUUAAAAAAAUAAAUAAAAAAAAUAGGGGUAUUUUUUCUCUCAUAAUAACAGUAAACAGAUUCACAACAAUGUCAAUUUCAAGAAAGCAGACAACAGUUAAUUAGUCAAUAACGGUACAGCAUCAAUGAUCUUGAAAAUAUGCCACUUUUAAGUAAAAUAUAAAGGCACAGAACCAGGACAUAGGAGCACAGAACCAGGACCGUUUUUCUUAUCACCAGCACAGCGUCAGGACAAUUCCGUUUAACGAACUUGCACGACUUUUGCAAUUUAAUAUUGUUGUAAUAUACUUUGCAUGGUACUUAUGACGCAUCAGAGAAAAAUUAAGCAACAAAACUGUCGUUUUAUUGCCGUUCUGAUACAAUGUAAACAAACCCACCAGCACAGAAUCAGGACCCACCAGCACCUGACAGGACCAAAUCACCAGCACAGUACGUUCUCUCGCAGGACAACCAUACCCACCGUGAAAGUCGUAGGAAUAUUGUUUGUCAUCAAUACGUAGUACAACUACGUCAGUAGUCUAUUAUAUAAUUCAACUGUUCAUGCUGUUGGCGGCA
rnacentral:lncRNA from 1 species